CGGAAAGCACACGACUGUGACCUGAACCAUAUGACUAUAGGACUUGUGAGUAAAUUGUUGCAAGGGGGAUGCGUGACUGCUAGCGCUUGCUGUGUGCUUAACUUCAUAUGGGAACAUGUCGUCCAAUUGAUAGUGGCCAUAAUCUGUAUUAUUUGGAAAGGCAAGAAUCCUGGAACAAGGAAUUUGGCUUUUGAGGUGUCAGGUCCAUCUAUGAUUCCUACCUUCAAUCUCAAAGGAGAUGGGGUUAUUGUGGUCUCAGAGCAUCUUAGUUCAUAUUUCAGAACAAUUAAAAAAGGAGAUGUUGUCAUUCUGAGGUCUCCUGAGAAACCAAAUAACCUUAUUUGCAAGAGGAUUGCUGCAAUGGGUGGGGAGUUCAUGAGAACUGACACUGAUGGAAAAGAUAGCUUUGAAAACCUCAAUCUUCUUUGUAUUGGCUUAAGAUUCCGAAAGGACAUUUGUGGCUUCUUGGUGAUAACCCCAAGUACUCCAAGGACUCCAGGGACUAUGGUCCAGUUCCUUAUGGACUCAUUCAAGGGAGGGUCUGCUUCAAGGUUAGGACAGGGUUGCUAGUGAUACAGAGAUGUUACGUCAUCCCAAAUUAAGUAAAAACUGAAUACUUUACUUGAAAGGUCAUUUCCAAAUUUAAGGUAUGGCCUGUGAGUGAGUUUGGAAAAGUCAGUAAUCCAUUCAGCAACAGAUGAUACCAGAAGUUGAAGAUAAGCUGGGUGGGAACCAAAAAACAGAUACAAAUGAAAGCAGUGUACUCAGAUGGCAAAAGACUUGAUCAGAGAGGAUGAAUUAAAUAUUCUUAAAUUGUUUCACCAGGUUAAUUGCGGUUAACCAUCCAGAUCAUUACAGUAAGUAAUGAGUGUAUGAACCUACCUUACGUAGGUAACAUAAUGAAGGAAUCAAUUCAGUCACAUGACAGUGUAAAGUAUAUGAUUAUUGUGUGUAUCUUGCUCUCUUGUAGAACUCUAAAAAACGAAGUGAAUGAACUUUGUAUUCCCUUUCUAUUAUUUUCAUCUAGUAAAGUGGAGGAUGAUAAAUAUCCCCUUAUCCCUUCUCAGUGAAAAAAGGUUUCCCACUGCAGGCAAUGAAAAAACAAUGUAUGUACAUAAAUAUCAUAGAAUCCUGAAAGGAAAUAGGAGAAAUAUGUUACAAUGGAUAGGUGAUAAAAUACUGAAUAAAAAUAAAUAGGUCGGCUUCACAUCAGGCCUAAUUUUUUCUUGUA